rnacentral:rRNA from 1 species
UCUACCUACGGGAGGCAGCAGUGGGGAAUAUUGCACAAUGGGGGAAACCCUGAUGCAGCAACGCCGCGUGAAGGAAGACGGUUUUCGGAUUGUAAACUUCUGUUCUUAGUGAAGAAGAAUGACGGUAGCUAAGGAGCAAGCCACGGCUAACUACGUGCCAGCAGCCGCGGUAAUACGUAGGUGGCAAGCGUUGUCCGGAAUUACUGGGUGUAAAGGGAGCGUAGACGGCGAUGCAAGUCUGAAGUGAGAGGCGGGGGGCCCAACCCCCGACUGCUU